rnacentral:rRNA from 1 species
UGGGGAAUAUUGGACAAUGGGGGCAACCCUGAUCCAGCCAUGCCGCGUGAGUGAUGAAGGCCUUAGGGUUGUAAAGCUCUUUCGCCGGUGAAGAUAAUGACGGUAACCGGAGAAGAAGCCCCGGCUAACUUCGUGCCAGCAGCCGCGGUAAUACGAAGGGGGCUAGCGUUGUUCGGAAUUACUGGGCGUAAAGCGCACGUAGGCGGAUUGUUAAGUCGGGGGUGAAAUCCCAGGGCUCAACCCUGGAACUGCCUCCGAUACUGGCAUUCUUGAGUCCGAGAGAGGUGAGUGGAAUUCCGAGUGUAGAGGUGAAAUUCGUAGAUAUUCGGAAGAACACCAGUGGCGAAGGCGGCUCACUGGCUCGGAACUGACGCUGAGGAGCGAAAGCGUGGGGAGCAAACA